rnacentral:misc_RNA from 1 species
AGGGCGAGCAAUUUCAUGCCAGGAUUCCUCAUUCUGUACGCUUGUAUUGUUGAGCCAAGGAGCAAAUACUCUAGUUGUCUGAUCAUGACUGACAGACAUCAUAUAUUCCCCACAUCUAGCCCAGGCGAUGUCUGACACUGCAGCAAAGUGUCCAGAUGGAACUUUUUGUGGCUUCCAGUCAUCAUACUCAAUACCAACAUUUUUCCAGAGGUGAAAAGAUCCACCAUAUCCAUGAGCUAAAAUAAAAUCUGCAUUUGGACUCCAGUGACCACCAUAAAAUCCCAAAGCACAGUGACUUAAUUCCCCAACGGUGACUACAUUCAUCCAAAUACCAGUUGUCUUUUCAGGUUGCCAGAUCAACAUUGUCUUAUCCAUGGAUGCAGAUAAAAUGCUUUGAGGCUGAAAACACUCAAUUCCCUCAACAGAAGAAGUCGAUGGCGGCUGCCAUUCCACUGAGUAUACCCAAUCUUCAUGCCCAAUGAGGAGAGAUUCCAUAGAGAUCUG